UCCAAAUCACCACUUUAUUAUGUGGCAGUCACCAUGGUGCCAGCCUCUGCCUUCCCCAUGUCACCCUCCUAAUCCAGGGCUCUCCAACCAUAUUCAUGUUUGCGUUUUCACAAGUCAAUGUCCAUUAAGGCCUUGUGCUCCCCUUUUCUUCAGUACAGGGCAGGGCCCUUAUAAUUUGGGUCUCAAGAAUUGAUAGUUGUCUCUUAACUGGUUCUGGUGAGGCGCACUCACAGCAGUGAGUGGAGGGUCCUGGGAGGGCAUGGAUGACGGAGGCUGCCCCUAGAGGAGCUGGAUGUAGGAGCAGAGACAUUUCUUGAUCUUUCACUCUGCAAACUGGUCCAAGAACUUGAGAGGGGAUGACUUUGUCAGUGUCCCCAAAAACAUGGAGCGAAGGCAAUGACAAGGGCCUUUGCAGGAUGGAUUCCUUGAACCCAAUGCCCCGGGGACAGAAACCAGACACCAAGAGGAUAAACCGUGGCAAGGGGAAGCGGGGAUCGCCUGCCUGGCCCAGGGCACACACAAGGGCUGCUAGCGCAGCCCCUUGGCUGAAACCAAGAAGGCCGUCAAAAGGCCCCAGCCUGUUCAGUGCCUGUGCCACCAUCCCCAGUGAUUCCUCCAGGCCCCUGCAGACGGCGGGCUCUUCCAAUGCGGAGAAAACGUCGGCCUCCUGCUCUGAAAACCACCAGCCUCGAGGCUGCUCCUCCGGAGGGCAGGACCCUACAGCGAUAUGAGGAAAAAGGAUGGGAUUAGGGCAUGGGAGGCUCCAGGAAGGAAAGAAAUGAGAAAGGGCAGGAGGGUUCGAGAUGACAGAGAGAAAAAGGGAAUCGAGGCAAAAGUCUGGGGGAAAUGAGAGGGGGGAAAUGAGUGGAUUGGCCUGAACAGGAGACAGCGGAGGAAGACGGUGAAGGCGGAAGCCUGGGAGGACAGGCUGCAGUUUGAGCAAAGAGGGUAUGGGUCGCGAGAAAUGAAGGGUGUGGACUGGGUGGGAGGAAUGCGGGUGGACGCAGGGUGGGGGAUGCUGAAGGGUGUCGAGGGGGACGAAACAAGAUGGAGGAAACUGAGUGCGUUUCCGGAGCGGGGCUUGUCUCACCGAAGUCUGAUCUGGCGCCCUCGGGGCCCGGGGGGUCGGGGACCGGGUGCGGGCCGCUGAGGCACACGAGCUCGGCGCGACCCCGCAGCGCCUUCCUCAGCGCCCCGGUCUUCUCACGGAAGCCCCGCUCGCUCUGCCGGAAGCCCGCCAGGCACAGGACCCGCAGGGGUCGCUGCGCGGCCAUUAUGCCCGGCAAGGAGCGACGGAAGCACCGGAAGCGGUCUUUCCCCGAGCGGAAGCACAAUGCACGGGGCGGAACCGAACGUCAGCACCGCCCCGAGGGCGGGCCUCGGAGCGCCAAGGCGUUCCCAUGACAACGGCAAAAGGCGGGGCGCACCCAGAGCGGGGGCUGAUACCUGAGGCCCGGGAGCGCGUCAAGGAGCCAGCGGCGCCACCUUCUCGUCCCUGCAGCUGCAGUCCUCGCAAGCCACGGCCGAAGGGGGACGCGCGGACCCCUCCUGCACCUGAGGUCGCAGACUUUGGUUAGGGUCUCGCUCCUGCGACCCUGCGUUUCCCUCCGCUCCGCUCCUGUGCGUUUCCCGUCGCGGUCGCAGGGCGGCGGCCAGUGCCCAGGCGCGGUCUCUCCUCCCUCCUGGAAGCCCCCGCCUACCUUCCCCCGCGCGGGCCGGCCCGGGGCGUGGGGACGGCGGUCCUGGCCGUGGUUCACCGUCCAGGGCCCCAAGGAGCUGCCAGCGUAGAAGUCCAUCGGGUAGGGCUGCUGCCAGGAAAUGUCCCUCAGAGCCACGGCCGCCUAGGGGAGGGGAGGGAGGGACAAUAACAUCUGCCAGUGUUUUUCUGCCCCUGGAUUACUGAAUUCAGUCCUCACGACGGCCUGUGAAGGGCACACUGUCCCCUGCCACAGAAGGGAACUGUGUGGUUCAGGGCCUUGCCUAAGGCUACACAGCUAGGAAGUGACUCCGCUGGAGAAAUCGAGACAGACUCCGGAAUCUACGAACAUAACGAAGUGCUGCCCACCCACCCCACUCCACUCCAGACCUCACCUUUGAGAACCACGUCCAAAGCCCACUCUCUCCCAGAGCUUGGUGUUACCUCAUAGGGUGUCAGCAGCGGCUUGGGGAAGGCUGUGCCCCAGUCAAUGGAGAGACGUGGACAUGCCACCUGCACCCACCUGGGAAGGGAAGCCAGGUCAGACCCUAGGAAGGGCCUCCUCGUCGCCCAGGCAGCAUGCUGAAGAACAUGACAGUGCCCCCAGCACACCCAUUCAUUAACAGGCUUUAUGAAUCCUAAAGUAAAGACAGUGACCCACUGCUGUUUGGA
rnacentral:lncRNA from 1 species